GACGAACGCUGGCGGCGUGCCUAAUACAUGCAAGUAGAACGCUGAAGGAGGAGCUUACUUCUCUGGAUGAGUUGCGAUCGGGUGAGCAACGCGUAGGUAACCUGCCUGGUAGCGGGGGAUAACUAUUGGAAACGAUAGCUAAUACCGCAUAAGAGUAGAUGUUGCAUGACAUUUACUUAAAAGGUGCAAUUGCACCACUACCAGAUGGACCUGCUUUGUAUUAGCUAGUUGGUGGGGUAACGGCUUACCAAGGCGACGAUACAUAGCCGACCUGGAAGGGUGAUCGGCCACACUGGGACUGAGACACGGACCAGACUCCUACGGGAGGCAGCAGUAGGGAAUCUUCGGCAAUGGACGGAAGUCUGACCGAGCAACGCCGCGUGAGUGAAGAAGGUUUUCGGAUCGUAAAGCUCUGUUGUAAGAGAAGAACGAGUGUGAGAGUGGAAAGUUCACACUGUGACGGUAUCUUACCAGAAAGGGACGGCUAACUACGUGCCAGCAGCCGCAGUAA
rnacentral:rRNA from 1 species